rnacentral:rRNA from 1 species
UGGCGGCAGGCCUAACACAUGCAAGUCGAGCGGCAGCACAAGGGAGCUUGCUCCUGAGGUGGCGAGCGGCGGACGGGUGAGUAAUGCCUAGGGAUCUGCCCAGUCGAGGGGGAUAACAGUUGGAAACGACUGCUAAUACCGCAUACGCCCUACGGGGGAAAGGAGGGGACCUUCGGGCCUUCCGCGAUUGGAUGAACCUAGGUGGGAUUAGCUAGUUGGUGAGGUAAUGGCUCACCAAGGCGACGAUCCCUAGCUGUUCUGAGAGGAUGAUCAGCCACACUGGGACUGAGACACGGCCCAGACUCCUACGGGAGGCAGCAGUGGGGAAUAUUGCACAAUGGGCGAAAGCCUGAUGCAGCCAUGCCGCGUGUGUGAAGAAGGCCUUCGGGUUGUAAAGCACUUUCAGUAGGGAGGAAAGGGUAUUACUUAAUACGUAAUACCUGUGACGUUACCUACAGAAGAAGGACCGGCUAACUCCGUGCCAGCAGCCGCGG